GUUUACUUAGGUAAUAUUAUAUCCUUCUGAAGUCUUUGAUGUAGUUGAAGACUAAAUAGUUAUAAUUAUGGUUUUCCUUGGUUAUGAUAAGAGAUAAGACCAAAGCAAACCAAACAAGCAAACAAACAAAAAAACAAGAACAAAAACAAAAUAACCCAAGGAACUGGGGGGAUGGGUUUGUCUCCAAUGGAUUUUUCUGACCAUGAAGGCCUGACCCCACAGGACUGAAGGAGGUCAUGAAAGACACACAGAACAAGUUUGGAAAGUUGAAGCCGACAAAAGAGGAAAAAUUAUCAGCAUAUUCUAAGUUCUGCCAGACAGUCUUUUAUUACAUGAUAAAAGCAACACUAGGCACUAGAUCUUGUAAAAUAAGCUCUGACCAACUUUCUGAAAUUAAAAAUGCAUAACCACAUCUGUAAGAUUUUUAAUGAACAAAAAAGUUAAAUACAAACUUUCAUAUGCAAAAUAGAUGACUGUAAAAGAUGACCUCAGAGCCACGUACUAAAUCUCUCUCCGGAGGCUCAGUGGGACUGGAGUAGGGCAUGCUAAUGAGCCAAGAACUUAAUUUCAGCUUUAUAUAUAUUUAUAUAUUAAAAUAAAAAAAAAACCUCUGAGGAAAAAUAGGCUUAAAUUGAGGAACAUCUUCUGAAACAGACAACUCAGGCCAGCCCUCUACCAUUGUGAGGGUCAUACUCAACCACACCUAGGAUGAAACAUUUAUGGUCACAGUCACUUUGAAUCCAGUUUCGAGAGGAAGCCAAGCUACUUCAGUUCUAAAAAAGAAAGUCUCUAAGAUGAGCACGCACUGCUCUGAGGACGCAGAGACUGAGGUCCUUGGCCACAUUUCCAUGAACUGUGCCCGUGUCAUAGCGGCAGACUCUCUAAGAGGCAGCUAGAUCCCUACAACACAGC